GGAGUAUGUAUAUUUGGUUAUAUAUUUUUCUGUGUGCAUAUUUGGUUAUAUUUUCUGUGUUGGAAUGGAGUUGUGAAGCUUUGACGCGUUUGUGAAAACUUCCUUUCAUUGUCAAAACAAUAAUGAUUUAAGCCAACAUUUGUAUAAAAACUAUCGUCAAAUUCUUCUUCAAUUUCAUCUUAUGAAGUAACCAAAGCUGAGAUUGAAUUGUUUGAGAUGGAUUGAGAUAUUAGAAAUUGUCGAGGGUUAAAAAAAUAUAUAUUCUAUAUAUAUACAAAUACAAGUGGAAUUCUCACAAAGGCAAAGAUUUUUGCUUCAGCUCUAAGAGUCUAGACCACCUCUUAUAGAUGGAAGCUACAUUUCGUCCGACAAUUUCUGUGGGAAAUUGCAAUGUCGGUUCAGAUCUGUCACAGGACUCCAAGCAUGUAUCUUUGACAGAGGUGGUAAGCCUAAUUGUGUCUUGUAUUAAUGGAUCAAGAUUAGAUUCAUAACCUGGCUUCACAUAGAUAACCUGCACAAAUCAACGAACAACCAGCUGAGUUAUUUUCAAGCUCGAGAUGAGAGAGAGAGAGAAUGCAGAGUUUAGAGACUUAAUGAUGGAUCGUCGCCGCCAAUUUCUGGUAGUGUUAUUUCACCUUUAUCUCUAUUGCAUGGUAGAACCCAGACAUUAAAUUUGGUAUCAAUCUCUUUACAAUAUGGAGAAGAGCAGUUGCUACAUUUUCUGGUGAAGGAUGUGAUGAUCCUUCCAUCCACUGAGAAGCCAAAGCUGGCACGCUUUUGGACGCAAAGAUUGAUAGAAACCUCAGUAUCUCUUUGUUCAUCUUCAAUCAAAUCUUCCAACUGUAGUUCCUGAAGGGAGAAUAGGUAUUGGGAAGUCCAUUUUCCAUGCCAUCUUCCAUCUCCUGUUGAUAUUGUUAUCAAACGACGGGGCGUUUUGCAACCCUUUUUUGCUAUCACCGACAUGUCUUUUCUCCUUGGAACAGCAAUGGUUUUUGAAGCAUGACACAGCAACUUGUGGGAUCUUCUGUUUGUUGGAUGCCAGCUGAGAAUGCUUUUGAUGCUUCUGCCUGAUGCCAAAUGCCCAGCUUCAGCCAUCUCCAUCCCUCUCUCUCUCUCUCUCUCU
rnacentral:misc_RNA from 1 species